rnacentral:rRNA from 1 species
UACAGAGGGGGCCAGCGUUAUUCGGAAUUAUUGGGCGUAAAGGGCGCGUAGGCGGCUUUGCGUGUCUUUCGUGAAAUCCCUCGGCUCAACUGAGGACGUGCGGAAGAAACUGCAGGGCUGGAGUCCGGGAGAGGAGGGUGGAAUUCCCAGUGUAGCGGUGAAAUGCGUAGAUAUUGGGAGGAACACCUGUGGCGAAGGCGGCCGACUGGGCCGACCCUGACGCUGAGGCGCGAAGGCGUGGGGAGCGAACGGG